rnacentral:rRNA from 1 species
AUGAACGCUAGCGGCAGGCUUAACACAUGCAAGUCGAGGGGCAGCACAGGUAGCAAUACUGGGUGGCGACCGGCGCACGGGUGCGUAACGCGUAUAGAACCUACCUUUUACAGAGGGAUAGCCCAGAGAAAUUUGGAUUAAUACCUCAUAGAAUUAUAGAGUGGCAUCAUUUAAUAAUUAAACAUUUAUGGGUAAGAGAUGGCUAUGCGUCCUAUUAGUUAGUUGGAGAGGUAACGGCUCACCAAGACAGCGAUAGGUAGGGGUCCUGAGAGGGAGAUCCCCCACACUGGUACUGAGACACGGACCAGACUCCUACGGGAGGCAGCAGUGAGGAAUAUUGGUCAAUGGGCGCAAGCCUGAACCAGCCAUGCCGCGUGCAGGAAGAAGGUCCUAUGGAUUGUAAACUGCUUUUAAACAGGAAGAAACACCCCGACGAGUCGGGGCUUGACGGUACUGUAAGAAUAAGCACCGGCUAACUCCGU